rnacentral:rRNA from 1 species
UACGAAGGGGACUAGCGUUGUUCGGAAUUACUGGGCGUAAAGCGCACGUAGGCGGAUUUGUAAGUCAGGGGUGAAAUCCCGGGGCUCAACCUCGGAACUGCCUUUGAUACUGCAAAUCUCGAGUCCGAUAGAGGUGGGUGGAAUUCCUAGUGUAGAGGUGAAAUUCGUAGAUAUUAGGAAGAACACCGGUGGCGAAGGCGGCCCACUGGAUCGGUACUGACGCUAAGGUGCGAAAGCGUGGGGAGCAAACAGG